AUUGAACGCUGGCGGCAUGCUUUACACAUGCAAGUCGAACGGCAGCGCGGGCUUCGGCCUGGCGGCGAGUGGCGAACGGGUGAGUAAUGCAUCGGAACGUGCCCAGUAGUGGGGGAUAGCCCGGCGAAAGCCGGAGUAAUACCGCAUACGACCUGAGGGUGAAAGCGGGGGACCGAAAGGCCUCGCGCUAUUGGAGCGGCCGAUGCCGGUUUAGCUAGGUGGUGGGGUAAAGGAUUACCAAGGCGACGAUCCGUAGCUGGACUGAGAGGACGACCAGCCAGACUGGGACUGAGACACGGCCCAGAGUCCUACGGGAGGCAGCAGUGGGGAAUUUUGAGCAAUGGGGGGGAACCUGAUCCAGCCAUGCCGCGUGCGGAAAGAAGGACUUCGGGUUGUAAACCGCUUUUGUUCGGGAAGAAAUCCUCUGGGCUAAUACCCCGGGGGGAUGACGGUACCGGAAGAAUAAGCACCGGCUAACUACGUG
rnacentral:rRNA from 1 species